UACGUAGGGGGCGAGCGUUGUCCGGAUUUAUUGGGCGUAAAGAGCUCGUAGGCGGCUUGUCGCGUCGUCCGUGAAAACCCACGGCUUAACUGUGGGCUUGCGGUCGAUACGGGCAGGCUGGAGGUAUGCAGGGGAGAACGGAAUUCCUGGUGUAGCGGUGAAAUGCGCAGAUAUCAGGAGGAACACCGGUGGCGAAGGCGGUUCUCUGGGCAUGUCCUGACGCUGAGGAGCGAAAGUGUGGGGAGCAAACCGG
rnacentral:rRNA from 1 species